rnacentral:lncRNA from 1 species
ACGGGCACAGACACGGGCUGGGACACAGCCGUGUGUCCCUAUUUCGAAUUCCCACGCGGCCUAAGACAUAGGCGUCUCUCUUGACCGUGUGAGUCACACAGUUUGGCCACACAGGCAUGUGAUCCUUGCAGCUUUGAAAUUUUUUAAUGUUUUCUAAAAAAUUCAUUGAGUACCCGAUUUAAUCCGGACUUGUUUUUAAUGAGUAUUUUGGACCUUGAAGGCUCGUAUAAGGGAAA